AAGUCGUAACAAGGUUUCCGUAGGUGAACCUGCGGAAGGAUCAUCAUUGAACCUCUAAAUAUCAAAAAACACGCUUUGUGCAUUUUGUUACCCGCUGGUGGGAGAAAGGUGGGGGAAGAAGAGAGAGUUUUUUUUCUCUUUCUCCCUCCCCUCCUUUCUACCACCAGCAUUUUUAUUUUAAAACUCGCUUUUUUAUCCCACUUUUUCUUAAAACAUAAAAAUCUUUAAAAAGAAGACAACUUUUAACAACGGAUCUCUUGGCUCUC
rnacentral:misc_RNA from 1 species